GAGGGAGAGGUGAAGAAUACGACCACCUAGGUACCAUUGCACUCCGGUACCUAAAACAUACCCUC
rnacentral:misc_RNA from 1 species